rnacentral:rRNA from 1 species
CUGUACAGUUCAGAGUUUGAUCCUGGCUCAGGACGAACGCUGGCGGCGUGCCUAACACAUGCAAGUCGAGCGGAGACAAUGACUUCGGUUGUUGUUUUAGCGGCGGACGGGUGAGUAACGCGUGAGCAACCUUUCUCUUACUGGGGAAUAACACAGGGAAACUUGUACUAAUACCGCAUGAGACCACAGAUGGGCAUCCAUCAGGGGUCAAAGAUUUAUCGGUAAGAGGUGGGCUCGCGUCUGAUUAGAUAGUUGGUGGGGUAACGGCCUACCAAGUCGACGAUCAGUAGCCGACCUGAGAGGGUGAUCGGCCACAUUGGGACUGAGACACGGCCCAA